GUUUCUAUUUUCUUUCCUUUCUAACUUCUCCUUCAGAGAAACAUCUUCUUUGUCUGAAUAUUUCUUUUUCUUCCUUUCUUUUUUGCAAUGGACAGAGUUUCUCUAGACUUCAAAGGGAGACAUGGGAGGGGAGAACUAGGUCUUAUCUUUCUGCCUCUUACAAUGUGCGGUUACUAGAAUCUUAUUAGCAAGAAAGAAGAAUCACUGUACAAGAGAAAACACACCUGGAAAAUAUCCACACUUUAGUUUAUGAAGACUAUGUUUGGAAACCAAAACUGCAUGUUGUAUUAUCUUAUAUUUCUAAGUAGAUGCCUGAGAGAUGGGGGCCCCUGAAGGAGGAAAAAGGGGCAAGACGAUCAUCUUGUGUCCACUUGCACUUGGUUCCCUCAACCUCUCCCCACUUCAUCCUGGACAGAUGACACCCACGGAGAAGGCCAUGCUGAUCUUCAGGAUUUUAGGCUUACAGUGCCUUCAAGAACCUUACAUCUGGACCACCAGAAAGAACCCCGAGUGCUUGUGACUGAGGAUAGAGUGGGGCAAGGUAGAAAUGUGAAGGAUGGUUUCCAACAACAUGCCCCCACCAGCCCAGGAUUCCUUCUGGUAGGCCAGAGCUGGAUGGACUGUUCACUCUUUUAUCACAAACUAGAUCUUCACUAGGAGAAAAAGUUAGAACAGGUCACUUACUCCCAGCCCAGAUCCAUGCAGCCUAAAAAUUCUGUUAAAGCAAAAAAGGAAAAUUGGAGGAUAAAAGGAAGAAAUAAAAGGAAUAAAGAGGAGAGAGAGACUCAAUUUCAGAGUGAUCACACUGGAUACAGGUCAAGGUUCAAAAUACUAAAACUGUUUUUAAUGUUCCACUAAGUAGCAGCCUCUCAGUGCCUCUGACAAGUGAUUUAAGACAAGUGGUCUGCUCCCAAGAGGGCUCAUGAAUCUCCAUGCAUGACGGUUAGAUCGAGAGAGUCUGGAGUCACACAGUUGGAAAGGUGGCAAUGCAAAGGUCAGAAAUACAAAGGAGGAGUCCAUCCAUCAACCCUGACAGGCGGGCAUGCCCAGGAUGGCAGAAGGGACAGGAGCCAUCUGGUAGCUUUGCUUGCAAGACCAGAUUAAGAAAGCACUAGCCCAGAAACCACAAAGGAGAAGAUGGAGCUGUAUUUCCGGAGGAAAAAGCAAAGACUUCUACCCAAAGCUGAGAAUAAUCAUCCUCUCUGUUCCACCUACUCCCCGAGAGAAUCAAGCUCACUCAAAAUGCCACCCACAGACUCAAGCCUGAAGAACAGAGCUGAAAACAUGGCACAGCACCUCUGAAAAAUUGUUCAGCCCUGACCCUGGCCAAUGGAUGUGGAAAUCUCAUCUGUGGUCAAAAUCACACUCACAGAUCAGGCCACAGAUGCAAAUCCAUUUUCUGCCAUGGUAUCCACAGACCUCAUCUACAGCUUUCUGAUGACUGGCUUUCAUUCUAAUUGAAAGGCCAACGAUAAGAUCCUGAUGGAAUUUUUCCUUAACAUUAAAAGCACAAAGGGGCACCUGGGUGGCUCAGUCAGUUAAGUGCCUAACUUCG